rnacentral:rRNA from 1 species
UGGGGAAUAUUGGACAAUGGGCGAAAGCCUGAUCCAGCCAUGCCGCGUGUGUGAAGAAGGUCUUCGGAUUGUAAAGCACUUUAAGUUGGGAGGAAGGGCAGUUACCUAAUACGUGAUUGUUUUGACGUUACCGACAGAAUAAGCACCGGCUAACUCUGUGCCAGCAGCCGCGGUAAUACAGAGGGUGCAAGCGUUAAUCGGAAUUACUGGGCGUAAAGCGCGCGUAGGUGGUUAGUUAAGUUGGAUGUGAAAUCCCCGGGCUCAACCUGGGAACUGCAUUCAAAACUGACUGACUAGAGUAUGGUAGAGGGUGGUGGAAUUUCCUGUGUAGCGGUGAAAUGCGUAGAUAUAGGAAGGAACACCAGUGGCGAAGGCGACCACCUGGACUGAUACUGACACUGAGGAACGAAAGCCAGGGUAGCAAACGGGAUUAGAUACCCACGUAGUCCCUGAGCGGGCUGGCAAGGCGCAU